GAUCCUGGCUCAGGAUGAACGCUAGCUACAGGCUUAACACAUGCAAGUCGAGGGGCAGCAUGUUGGUUGCUUGCAACCGAUGAUGGCGACCGGCGCACGGGUGAGUAACGCGUAUCCAACCUACCCUUGUCCAUCGGAUAACCCGUCGAAAGGCGGCCUAACACGAUAUGCGGUUCACAGCAGGCAUCUAACGUGAACGAAAUAGUGAAGGAGAAGGAUGGGGAGUGCGU
rnacentral:rRNA from 1 species